UGCCUAAACCCGGGAUCGAACCGGGACCUUUUGAUAUUCAGUCUAACACUCUCCUAACUGAGCUAUUUCGGC
rnacentral:tRNA from 1 species